rnacentral:tRNA from 1 species
GCCCACGUAGCUCACUGUAGAGCGCUUGUCGUUGAUGAUUUGCUCCCUUUGCGACAAGUAGUCAUCAGUUCAAUUCUGAUCGCGUGGGCU